rnacentral:rRNA from 2 species
GCCCCAGUAACGGCGAGUGAAGCGGCAACAGCUCAAAUUUGAAAUCUGGCCCCCCGGCCCGAGUUGUAAUUUGCAGAGGAUGCUCUUGGCAAGGCUCCGUCCGAGUUCCCUGGAACGGGACGCCACAGAGGGUGAGAGCCCCGUAUGGACGAGCGCCGCGCCGCUGUAGAGCUCCUUCGACGAGUCGAGUAGUUUGGGAAUGCUGCUCUAAAUGGGAGGUAAAUCUCUUCUAAAGCUAAAUACUGGCCACAGACCGAUAGCGCACAAGUAGAGUGAUCGAAAGAUGAAAAGCACUUUGAAAAGAGAGUUAAACAGCACGUGAAAUUGUUGAAAGGGAAGCGCUCAUGACCAGACUUGCGCCUGGCGGAUCAUCCGGCGUUCUCGCCGGUGCACUCCGCCAGGCUCAGGCCAGCAUCGGUUCGCUGUCGGGGAGAAAGGCGAGGGGAAUGUGGCUCUUCGGAGUGUUAUAGCCCCCCGCGCAAUACCCUUCGGCGGACCGAGGUUCGCGCAUCUGCAUGGAUGCUGGCGUAAUGGUCAUCAG